rnacentral:rRNA from 1 species
UACGAGUGCCUCGAGCGUUAUCCGGAAUCAUUGGGCGUAAAGGGUGUGUAGGAGGUUUUGUUAGUCUUCUGUCAAAUUCUUCGGCUUAACCGGGGGCUCGCAGAGGAAACGGCAAAACUAGAGGAUGGGAGAGGUGAAUGGAACUCUAAGUGUAGGGGUGAAAUCCGUUGAUAUUUAGGGGAACACCAAAAGCGAAGGCAAUUCACUGGCCCACUCCUGACUCUGAAACACGAAAGCGUGGGUAGCGAAUGGG